CGCACAUUGCGCCCCUCGGUAGCCCGGAGGGCAUACCUGUUCGAGCGUCAUUUAAUAAAUCAAAAUUAUGUUUUGAAAUUGGACCUUGUCGUUUUUUGUUCAAAAAACGGGUCUUGAAUAUGUCGGCAGCUUCUAACAAGCUUCAAGCGUAGUAAAUUUUAUCCCGUUUGAAUAAGCUUUUCAGGAGUUUUGCCUCUAAUUCUCCAUAUCAUAUUUUGACCUCGAAUCAGGUAGGGAUACCCGCUGAACUUAA
rnacentral:misc_RNA from 1 species